rnacentral:tRNA from 1 species
GCGAGCGUAGCUCAGUUGGUAGAGCAUUAGCUUCCCAAGCUAAGGGUCGCGGGUUCGAAUCCCGUCACUCGCU